GGAUAGAUACCCUAUUAUGCUAGAAUAAAAAAUUAGUAAAUUUAUGAAAAUUAAAAAUUUUGGCAGUUAAUUAUAUUAUUAGAGGAGCUUGUUUGAAUUAAGAAUUUGCUCUUUAUAUCUUAUUAUUUUUGAGUUUAUUCAUCUCUGUUAUGUUAUAUUGAGAAAUUAAAAUUUUAAUUUUCAGGUCAAGAUGUAGCAUAAAAUAAAUAGAAUUAGCUACAAUUAUGGAAUAAUAUAUAGUAUUAGGUAUUAAAUAAUUAAAAUAUUGAAUUUAGUUGUAAUAGUAAUAAAUAUAUUAUUGUGAUUUUGUAUAAUUAGUGUACAUAUC
rnacentral:rRNA from 1 species